rnacentral:rRNA from 1 species
GAUGUAGGGCGCGAGCGUUGUCCGGAUUUAUUGGGCGUAAAGAGCUCGUAGGCGGCUUGUCGCGUCGACUGUGAAAACCCGCGGCUCAACCGUGUGGUCUGCAGUCGAUACGGGCAGGCUAGAGUUCGGUAGGGGAGACUGGAAUUCCUGGUGUAGCGGUGAAAUGCGCAGAUAUCAGGAGGAACACCGGUGGCGAAGGCGGGUCUCUGGAACGCAACUGACGCUGAGACGCGAAAGCGUGGGGAGCGAACAGG